UACAGAGGGUGCGAGCGUUGUCCGGAAUCACUGGGCGUAAAGGGCGCGUAGGCGGCCCGCUAAGUAGGGGGUGAAAUCUUGCGGCUUAACCGCAAGGCUGCCUUCUAAACUGUCGGGCUGGAGCACGGUAGAGGCAGAUGGAAUUCCCGGUGUAGCGGUGGAAUGCGUAGAGAUCGGGAAGAACACCAGUGGCGAAGGCGGUCUGCUGGGCCGUUGCUGACGCUGAGGCGCGACAGCGUGGGGAGCAAACAGG
rnacentral:rRNA from 1 species